rnacentral:rRNA from 1 species
CGAGCGGUAACAGGAAGAAGCUUGCUUCUUUGCUGACGAGCGGCGGACGGGUGAGUAAUACUUGGGAACUUGCCUCUAGGCGGGGGACAACCACUGGAAACGGUGGCUAAUACCGCAUAAUGUCUACGGACCAAAGUGGGGGACCUUCGGGCCUCACACCUAGAGAUGGGCCCAAGCGGGAUUAGCUAGUUGGUGAGGUAACGGCUCACCAAGGCGACGAUCCCUAGCUGUUCUGAGAGGAUGAUCAGCCACACUGGGACUGAGACACGGCCCAGACUCCUACGGGAGGCAGCAGUGGGGAAUAUUGGACAAUGGGGGCAACCCUGAUCCAGCCAUGCCGCGUGUGUGAAGAAGGCCUUCGGGUUGUAAAGCACUUUCAGUGGUGAGGAAAGGGUAAUCGUUAAUAGCGGUUACAGUUGACGUUAGCCACAGAAGAAGCACCGGCUAACUCCGUGCCAGCAGCCGCGGUAAUACGGAGGGUGCAAGCGUUAAUCGGAAUUACUGGGCGUAAAGCGUACGUAGGCGGUGUGUUAAGCAAGAUGUGAAAGCCCCGGGCUCAACCUGGGAAUGGCAUUUUGAACUGGCACGCUAGAGUCCUGAAGAGGGUGGUAGAAUUUCCAGUGUAGCGGUGAAAUGCGUAGAUAUUGGAAGGAAUACCGGUGGCGAAGGCGGCCACCUGGUCAGAGACUGACGCUGAGGUACGAAAGCGUGGGGGAGCAAACAGGAUUAGAUACCCUGGUAGUCCACGCCGUAAACGAUGUCAACUAGUUGUUUCGUGUCUUUUAAGACGUGAGUAACGCAGCUAACGCACUAAGUUGACCGCCUGGGGAGUACGGCCGCAAGGU